AUUCUUCCCCAGCUUGCCAAAAGCUCAUUCACACCACUCCCCUUAUCAGCUCAUACCCAACAACACAGCCACCAAAGAUACACCAACAAUAACUCAUACCCAAUGCAAAUAUGUUCUCACCAAACUUACCCAAUCGGUAGAACUGGAACGGAUUGGGAGUGGAAUGCACGGUUAUGCUUAAAUCAUUGUCAGAAUGAAACUGAAAGCAGCUUUCAAAGUUCAAAGUUCAAAGUACUGUAUUGUUAUCGUCACAAAAACAACGAGACAGACGAACAGAGCAAAAGUGAAACCAUUAGCAGGCUGAAUAAUUGUAUUCAUAUAGGCUAGUGUGAGCAUCGACUAAGCCAGUGAUCCAACAAUGACUUUUAAAAUGGACAUUUUGGACCUGACAUGGAAAGGUUUCGGUGCCUUCAGUGUCGGCGCGGUUAUUUUGAGCAUUUCUACCCCUGCCCUGGUGGUGAUCUCCGCCGUUGCUGUAUGCGGGUUAAUCGCGUAUACCUGCUACAAAACUGACACGCAUGGCAAGACAGCCUGAUAAAAAAAAUCUGCCUGCACGAAAAAUGUCGACCAACGCAAUGUAUUGUCUUUGUCACUGUCAUUUGAUAAAUGAUACAUUGUGUUAAUGUAGGCCUCAUGUAGGCCAUGCCUCUUUACACCUAUAACACAUCUUCA